CUGUCGGUCGGGGUCGUCGCCGGCGUUCCAGUCGACCCAACGCCGUCAUUGUCUCGGUUGCCCUCUGACUUCUCCAACUCGUCCUGCUCCCAGCUCGCCAUCUUCCUCCGAUUCUCGACGAUUGUCUAUACAGAGACAUCGCAGUCCCAGUAUCCUUGUUCGCAGAACUUGACGAUGAUUCCACCAUAGACGUACUGAAACAUGGAAUUGGAAGAAGGGAAUCCU